ensembl:lincRNA
GCAGGCUAUUGGGUUGCCACUCUUCCUAUCAGAUUACUUCUUUCUUCAUUACCAAUUAGCACGGUGGCUGCAUCAUGGAGGCUCAUGGUCUGGUCCAGGUCUCACAGCUAAUAUGAGGCAAAGAAAGAAGUCUAACCUGGAGUAUCAGCACAUACAGUAAAGCAGAUGAGGAACAAAGAGGAAGUCUUGAGAGGAUUUCAAGCUGGUUAAAAUGACCAGAGCAGAGAGGAAAUUUUUGGCUUAAGAAGACAAAAGACACACCCUGAUUUGUUCUUUCCCGUCCACUCCAUCAGCACAAACCCUUGUUAUGCUAUGGAUAAUGGAUUAAAGUGAACUGUAUGGUA